GACGAACGCUGGCGGCGUGCCUAAUACAUGCAAGUCGAACGCAGUGGGGACGGGUGCGGAACACGUGGGUAACCUCCCAUCAGAGGGGAUAACACGUGGAAACAGGUGCUAAACCGAUACGGGUGGAUGGACCCGUGGUGCAUUAGCUAGUUGGGGAGGUAACGGCUCACCAGGGCCACGAUGCAUAGCCGACCUGAGAGGGUGAUCGGCCACACUGGGACUGAGACACGGCCCAGCCUCCUACGUGAGGCAGCAGUAGGGAAUCUUCGGCAAUGGACGAAAGUCUGACCGAGCAACGCCGCGUGGGUGAAGAAGGGUUUCGGGUCGUAAAACUCUGUUGUUAGAGAAGCGGUAUCUAACCAGAAAGCCCCGGCUAACUACGUGCCAGCAGCCGCGGUAAUAC
rnacentral:rRNA from 1 species